rnacentral:rRNA from 1 species
UACGUAGGGUGCAAGCGUUUGUCCGGAAUUAUUGGGCGUAAAGGGCUCGUAGGCGGUCUGUCACGUCGGGAGUGAAAACACGGGGCUUAACCCCGUGCCUGCUUCGAUACGGGCAGGCUAGAGUUCGGUAGGGGGAGACUGGAAUUCCUGGUGUAGCGGUGGAAUGCGCAGAUAUCAGGAGGAACACCGGUGGCGAAGGCGGGUCUCUGGGCCGAAACUGACGCUGAGGAGCGAAAGCGUGGGGAGCGAACAGG